UUUAUGCGAUUACCUGGUGUGAAUUGCAGAAUUCAGUGGAUCAUCGUAUCUUUGAACGCACAUUGCGCCCCUUGGUAUUCCGAGGGGCAUGCCUGUUCGAGCGUCAUUACAACCCUCAAGCUCUGCUUGGUAUUGGGCUCCGUCCUCACUGCGGACGCGCCUCGAAGACCUCGGCGGUGGCUGUUCGGCCCUCAAGCGUAGUAGAAUACACCUCGCUUUGGAGCGGUCGGCGUCGCCCGCCGGACGAACCUUCUGAACUUUUCUGCAAGGUUGACCUCGGAUCAGGUAGGGAUUCAUCCCGCUGAACUUAAGCAUAUCAAUAAGCGGAGGAA
rnacentral:rRNA from 1 species